rnacentral:misc_RNA from 1 species
AGCAGCCGCGGUAAUUCCAGCUCCAAUAGCGUAUAUUAAAGUUGUUGCAGUUAAAAAGCUCGUAGUUGAAUUUCGGGAUCAAUUAAUUGGUCGUGCCUCUGGUACGUACUGGUUUUAUUGGUUUCUCCCUUCUGACGAACCAUGAUGUCAUUAAUUUGGUGUCGUGGAGAAUCAGGACUGUUACUUUGAAAAAUUAGAGUGUUUAAAGCAAGCUAACGCUUGAAUACAUUAGCAUGGAAUAAUGAAAUAGGACGUUUGAUCCUAUUUUGUUGGUUUCUAGGAUCGACGUAAUGAUUAAUAGGGAUAGUUGGGGGCAUUAGUAUUCAAUUGUCAGAGGUGAAAUUCUUGGAUUUAUUGAAGACUAACUACUGCGAAAGCAUUUGCCAAGGAUGUUUUCAUUAAUCAAGAACGAAAGUUAGGGGAUCGAAGACGAUCAGAUACCGUCGUAGUCUUAACCAUAAACUAUGCCGACUAGGGAUCGGAUGAUGUUAAUUUUUAAUGUACUCAUUCGGCGCCUUAC